UCCCCUCUGUCUUCUUCGUUCUCUGUUCACCGACCGCGGUGGACGACCGUGUGUCGUCCAUAGAUGGAUUAGCCACGAGGCGGCCAUCCCGCGCCUCCCCACCGUCUCCCAGCGGGGGAUAAGACCGAACCCGACGCCGCUGUCGAACCCUAUCCUAUCCACUUCUUCCCCUUCCCUCUCCUCCCCGAUCUGGAGAGGCACCCGUACGCAGCCGUCAACGCCGCCUCAUCGUUGACACGCUCCGGCACCACCCCGUCGCGCCCGAAGGCACCCAGGAGCUGCGCCUCGACGUCCUCUACCUCCACGGCAACCGGCUCGAGCUGGAGUGCCCCGGAGCCGCAGCCAUGGACCCCUCCUCUUCGACCAGGGAUGUCUGCUCCGCCUCGUCGAUCUGCUACCUCCGGUCCUCCCCGAACCACCCCGAGCUCGCCACCGCCUUCCCCUCGGUGAGCCGCACCCAUUCCCCCUUUCCCCCCUCGGAUUUGUCGCCGUAUGAGCGCGCCCCGCGUCGCUGUUGCUCCUGCUAUUGUCGCCUUGCUCGUGUGCGCCUUCGCCUUGCCAGGCCCGCCCCCUGUCGACCGAAGUCGUGCCCACACGCGCGGACUGCUGCCCCCGCUCGCAUCGUUGCCCCCUACCGCUGCGUCAACUACCUCGGCCAAGCGCGACUACAGACCCGCACCGGCCGCUGCGGCUGUUGCCGCCGUGGACUCCGCCCCGUUCGCAGCAGCGGCUGUGUCUCGCCAUUCCUCGGGCCGACCGCGCCCGCUCCGCCCAUCUCCGCCGCCUGCCGCUCGCUCGUCGGCGGUGACCCGCCCACCACCGGCCACCACACCCCGCGCCCACUGCCGGCCUCCACUCCCCAUGCGGCCUGCUGCCGCCCCCCUGCUAGCUGCUUUUGGCUGCUGCUGCCGCUCGAUACAGGCCGGGUGCCCCUGUUGUAUUACGUGCUAAUGCCCCCUAAUCGUAACACUAAUUAGGCGCUGAUAGUAGGCCCCACUACUUAAUUAGAUUAACUAAACCCAUUUAAAACUCAAUUUAACAAAUUGUCCCACUGACAUAUGGGUCCCCGUGCUAAAUAAAUCUAGUUACUUAAAUAGUUUAACUAGCGGUCUAUGACAUGUGGCCCCUACAUGACAGUUGGACCAGUCAACAAGUUGACUGUUGACCGUUGACUAGGCAGUCAACAGGGCCCACCUGUCAGUCAAAUAGAAAUAUCUUUGGGUACACUUAUGUGUACCCGUAGCAUUUAGUAUUUAAUAUAUUUCAGAAUUAAAUUAACUCCAGAAUUUUAGAAAAUCAUUUAAAGCUUUAAAAAUUAAUAUAAAAUAAACCGUAGCUCGGAUGAAAAAACUUUGUACAUGAAAGUUGCUCAGAACGACAAGAGGAAUCCGGAUACGCAGUCCGUUCGCCCGCCACACAUCCCUAGCAUAGCAAGCCUGCAACAUUUCACCUCUGGCUCAUCUGUCCGAAAAUGCGAAACACCGGGAACACUUUUCCGGAUGUUUCCCCCCUUCGCCGAUAUCACCUACCACUAUGUUAGGUCACCCCUAGCACCGCAUAUUGCCGCGUCUUGCUUUGUGUUACAUUUGAUUGCUCUGUUAUUUAUUGUGUUCCCCCUUCGUUACUUCUUUCCGGUAGACUCUGAGACCGGUGACGAUGUCCGUGUGUUUGACUACACCGAAGAUGACCCCUCCUUGCCAGAGCAACCAGGCAAGCCCCCCCCCUUGAUCACCAGAUAUCGCCUAUUCUCCUCUAUACUACUUGCAUUAGAGUAGUGUAGCAACUGAGCGGCGCGCGCCGGGUGACAUCCGCGACUGAGCGGCGCGCGCCGGGUUGGACUGCGUUAACGCAACUUCCUUUGUAAUGAAGGUUGCUAGGUCUGCUCACCGGCCGCCCUCGCAACAUGCAGGUGUGCAAUGGGCGAUGAGCCCAGACCCCUGCGCGCAUAGGAUUUAGACCGGCGUGCUGACCUCUCUGUUGUGCCUAGGUGGGGCUGCGACGUGUUGAUCUUUCGAGGCCGGCAUGACCCAGGAAAGUGUGUCCGGCCAAAUAGGAUCGAGCGUGUUCGGUUAUGUGGUGCACCCCUGCAGGGAAGUUUAUCUAUUCGAAUAGCCGUGUCCCUCGGUAAAAGGACGACCCGGAGUUGUACCUUGACCGUAUGACAACUAUAACCGGAUGCUUAAUAAAACACACCCAGACAAGUUCCACAGACAACCCGGUGAUCGCUUUUCCACAGGGCGACGAGGGGAGGAUCGCCGGGUAGGAUUAUGCUAUGCGAUGCUACUUGGAGGACUUCAAUCUACUCUCUUCUACAUGCUGCAAGACGAAGGCUGCCAGAAGCGUAGUCUUCGAUAGGACUAGCUAUCCCCCUCUUAUUCUGACAUUCUACAGUUCAGUCCACUCAUAUUGCCUCCUUACACAUAUACCCAUGCAUAUGUAGUGUAGCUCCUUGCUUGCGAGUACUUUGGAUGAGUACUCACGGUUGCUUUGCUCCCUCUUUUCCCCCGUUUUCCUCUUCUUCUCAGAUGCCGCAACCAGGCGUUGGAGCCCAGGAUCCAGACGCCACCGUCGAUGACGACUACUACUCUGGAGGUGCCUACUACUACGUGCAGGCCGCUGACGACGACCAGGAGUAGUUAGGAGGAUCCCAGGCAGGAGGCCUGCGCCUCUUUCAAUCUGUAUCCCAGUUUGUGCUAGCCUUCUUAAGGCAAACUUGUUUAACUAAUGUCUAUACUCAGAUAUUGUUGCUUCCGUUGACUUGUUUAUGUCGAGCACUUGUAUUCGAGCCCUCGAGGCCCCUGGCUUGUAAUAUGAUGCUUAUAUGACUUAUUUUAUUUUUAGAGUUGUGUUGUGAUAUCUUCCCAUGAGUCCCUGAUGUUGAUCGUACACAUUUACGUGCAUGAUUAGUGUACGAUUGAAUCGGGGGCGUCACAAGUUGUUAUCAGAGCCGACUGCCUGUAGGAAUCCCCCUUCCAAACUCCUUGACCGAAGUUGAGUCUAGUCAUUGCAAAAAAAAAAUUACUAACAUGGCUGUGUGUCUUACGGACCCACGUCGCCAUUGGGUGGUAUUAGGAUCUUUUAUUCCUCGACCUAUACUCUGGGACUCUAAUCUCUCCUCUAUCUGGGUUAAAUGAUUUUACUAACGCCAACUCUAGGUUCUCGUAAGUACUUCCACCCGGAGAGCCCCUUACCCCAGAUGAUUACUUGGUGCACGGAAGGAUUUUGAAGAUAUUCUCUGAUGUUCUGUCGAGACUUUGUGCCCGUUUCUUUUUCAAUUCCCUACCAUCGAAAUAUCUCUAUGGAUAAUUACAUGCACUUGUUGGUCCUACUUUUAUUCCCAGUUGAUCUUGUUACAAGAUACCUCGAAAUUCUCUCCAUUGUUCCAAAAAUACUUUGAGCCUAGUGCCUUGCAGUUCCUUGCCACAUGAAUACCCCUACGGAUAAUUCCUCGCAUUUACCGAGUAUCCGCUCAUUCCCAGUUGUUUAUGUGCUUCACUAAAGUCUUCGAAAUACUAUUUGAUUUUUGAAAAUUCUCAGCAGCCUGUUACUCUUGAAACUCUUGUUUGCUUGCAUUAUGGUUAAUUCCAUAUGACUAAUAGUCCUUGAUAACAUCCCUUGUCUUAGUCAUUUUGAAUCCUAUUGAUUCAACAUGAGUGCGAAUGCACGCAAUCAUCGGUUGAUUCUUUUAAAAUUAUCUUUCUGGCUCAGAUGUCAUUUUGAACAUGAUCUGUUUAUCGACCAAUCAAAUUGUCGUUGAUUGUAGCCCUAAGUCUAUUCAGCUUAUCCAUCCUUAAUCAGAGCGUCUGCUUCCGAUCCUUUGAUUUGGAAUCAUAAUUCCUUUGCAUUUAAGCUUUGAAUUAUUCAGAUGAUUCCAUAACCGUUGCACUUGCAUUCUUUCCUCUUCUGGUUGAGUACCAAUACUCACAUCAGAUCCUUUGUGGACCAUCAAGUCUUUUGUUGGAUUGUUAUUCGACAGUGUCCUUCAUAUUCAAUAACCUUGAGCCUUUCCUAGGAUAUAUAAUGCCUUUGGUAAAUUGUAUCCUUUGCUUUGUCAACCAUGCUCUAAUUUUGAGCUUGUGUUAUUUACUCCUGAAGUUCGUGGUAUAUGUUCUAAGAAGCCCCGACGGCUUGAACCUAUGGUUUCCUUAAUAUGUGCAAACUCAAAAGUUUUCACGAGUCAUACUCUUCUGGUAUUUUACCAAGAUAAAAUUUCAACACUAUAACUUCAUCGAACGCGAGAAGUAAAUGAAAGGUUAUGCAUUGGAGAAGUGGGAGUCGACCUUGAACUUUGUGUUCAUGCCCAUAGACACGAUGUAGAUCUUCUCACCGAAGCUUCUUUUAAAAUUAAUUAUUCCCUUGGUAUAAGUUCAUCUUAUAUCUGGGAUCUGGCCUUUUUCAAUCGUGGUUCCGACCAUGUUCUCCUUUAAAUACCAUUUCUCGUGCAAGUUUAAGCACUUGUCUUCUGCAGAGCAAUACCCCAGUCCAACCUCUACUUUGAUCUGUCGUCGAGUAUUACCCCCUGGUAUCUCGAGAUUAUUAUGGAAUUGCAUAACCUCUUUUGAGUUCUUCAUCAAGUACUACAUUCUCACGGAUUCCAAUUUUUCACGGGGUCUGAGUUAUUAAACACUCAAAAGACACCGAUAACUGAACCGAGUCCGCACUAUGGUUCAACAACUCUUCAGUAAUCUUCUUUAAGUAUGAGUUUGUACCCUACCAUGUCAUUCCUAGCCUUCUCUGCUAUAUCUAUUCGUGUUGAUUUUAACUGUGCUACCUGGUCCUUCUUCUUGGAGCACAAUUUUCGACGAUGAGCUGAGCUUACGUCGAUUUUCCUCAUCAUGUCAUUUCGCCUUGAACAUCAAACUUGGUUUAGAGUUUGUGACGUACCCGUGGCUCCAAUAACCUUUCGCUUCAUCAUUCCUUUGACUUGAUGUGAUCGCCGAUCGAUUACACCUUCAUGAAAUCUCUCGACAAUUGUGUCGUGAUCAUUAUCAACAUUUUGAGCUCUUCUAGGAUAUCAAUUGAAUUCAUGAUGAGAAAUACCAUCCUUGCCCUCGAUGAAUUUUAUUAUCAUCAACCACUUUAUUGCCUUCCCACCAACACAACUUGUUCGUGUUUGGUGUUGUACCUUGAGUUCCCUGCCAUCCAGCAAUUGUUCUUCUUUACUUGGAACAUUACCGUCUCUUAUGUCAUCAAAGUUGCGAGAAUUACACCACCUCUUAAGAAUUUGUGAUACAGUGAUGCUUCCCACCAUCACCAUUCUUUCUUGGUCCUCGUGUUGAUUCCAACCGGUGUACCAACAAGUGAACGGUGCUGUUUGAAUUCUGCCCUUCUAGCAACCCUAUUGCUUUGAAGUUAAUGGUCGGCUGUUCAUUCUUGGACUAUUGAUUAUUGAAUCACCAUUCUGACAUUGGUCAUGCAACCCAACCCAUAUUUCGGGCACACCUUUCAACUAAUGUUUAAUUGUGUAUGUUUUCCUCGAGCAUACCUCAUUAUGUCAUUUGAUCUGAAAAAUGUUAUCUCCUUCACAUGAUUGUGGGAAUCCAUCUUUUGGAAAUCUCGAGGAAUUGUCGCUGAGUCCAGCAGCCACCCCCUCAUCCUCUCCUUGGUUUAAUGAUGAACUCUUGUUUCAGAACUCGCUUCCUUAGUUCAUUUCCCGAGAAUCUUACAAUGUCAUCUCAUCAAAUUGUGUCGCACCUUUUCUUCUCAGGCAUCCCGAGUCUAAGGUUUCCUGACACCAAUCAGAUCUGAAUCUCAGUCAGAUAUGAUGGUUGGAACAUAUUUCCAAGAAUAAUGACAAUUGUCUUUAUAUGACCUGGUAGGGUGGUAUCAUGCCUAGCACAUCUGGCCAGAGGCCCUAUUGCUAUAGUUUCCUUUUCGCAAUGUUAUCCAUUCUUCCAUGAGGAAAUGAUAAGACUUAUUCUACAAGAUUGUUCCUGAUGAAUCCUUCGUGUAUCCAAGGUCUGACCUUUGCUUGAAGACCUUGUCAAUGCCAUCUCGAAGCAUGUCUGUGGUACUCUGAUUUUCAAUAAGAACAUUUGAAGCACAAUGCUAAAUGUUUCUUGCUCAAUUAUCCAAACACCGUUGUAUGGGUAAUGUCAUGAAAUUUCUCUCCCCUUACCUAAAGUGUUUUCUACUUUAUAUCCUAUCAUGAAUAUCAUGCUCUGCUUGUCCUUGGGAAGGAUAUACCCUUGAAUUAUGUGUUUAAACACAUUUUCCUUUCCAUUGUUCUGUUUAAUCUGAUGAUCACAUUUUCUUUUCCAUUGUUUUGUUUAACCUUUCUUGUGAUCUAUAUGAUCUAAGUAGUAAUAUUUUUUGGAUUAUGUAAAUACCUCGGUGUACCAUCCUGUGUAACCCUGUUACAAUUGUUGAUGACAUUCCGUUAACCACCAAUGGGUGAGAAAUUUGCCAAUUCGUUCGCCUCGUUCAACGAGCAGGAAAAUUGCUCUCUUCGUUCCCCGUCCUUGGUACCGACAUUGUUGCUGGCAUAGCUGACAAGCUAUUCACUGACAUGCCUCCCUAUCUCGGCUGUGCGAUGUCACCACCCUUCCUACUUUCAACCCACAUGGUGGGCCCAUAACCCACAGGUCCACUGGAUCGAAACCUCACUCUUCUUUACAACCCGGAUUCUAAUGUAUCCUUUGCACCGGGUUUCGUAUGUGAUUCAUGAGCUAAAUUCUAUACCAUUAUUCAUCCUGGAAUAAAACACCAUGUUAUUCUCGUUGUUCAAACCCCCAUUCCAGCUUCUGUCUAGUCAUCGAAUGAUUGCCUAUCCAUUUGAAACUCUGGUACCAUCGUAUAUUGCACUCAACGAAUUCACUGAAAUACAACUCGUGGGGUACCUCGUGUAUUUCCCACUGAGUUCACCGUCAGAUGCCCAACUUUAUGGAGAUGCGUUCUUCCGGAGUUUCCCCGCCCCCCUUGGUCGCGUUCGUAGGAUGAUGGAGAUCCCGAAGAAAGGAUGACGACUUGAUCAUGGUGACUUGAAGUAGAGAAAUGAAGACAUCAAUGAAAGGGAUCAACCCUUCGAAAGGGCAGCCAAGACCGAGAAGACUCGUUAGGUUUUCGCUACCAACACUUUUCCCCCCUUACUUCCCUAUUAAAUCUCGGGACGAGAUUUCUUGUAGUGGAGGAGAAUUUUGAUGCCCGGAUAUUUAAGCUACAGUGAACCUCUGCUAAUGAUGCCAUGUCACAUUGAUUACUCUUGCUAAUCUCACGUUAGUUCGAACUCAAAUUAAAAAUCAAGCAAACAAUAAAAGUUUUCAAAUGUUAAAACUAAAAUGUUUGGAGAGAGCCACAUAAUGCAUAGGUAAUUAUGGAGGAGAAACCACACUUUUAUAAAAUGUUUAAAUACUCUAAAAGGAAUAAAACAAUAGCAAAAACUGUUAUUUAAGUACUUUUAAAAUAAUAGAUAAUUAUGAAACUAUCUUAAUUAGGUGCCAAAGUUAUUGUGGCAGAGGUAUAUUUGGUAAUGCAAAAUUGGGUGUUCACUAUAUAUUUUACAAACAAAAAUAAGUUGGGAAAUAAAAUAAAAACCGUAAAAGGAAAAUAAACAAAAUCAAACAAAAACAAAAGAAGGAACCUAACUACUAUGCACUUUAGCCCAGUAUAUGAACAGUUGCUAGCCUAGCCCACCGGACCGGCAUAGCCCAACUCCUCCCCUCUGUCUUCUUCGUUCUCUGUUCACCGAGCGCGGUGGACGAUCGUGUGUCGUCCAUAGAUGGAUUAGCCACGAGACGGCCAUCCCGCGCCUCCCCACCGUCUCCCAGCGGGGGAUAAGACCGUACCCGACGCCGCUGUCGAACCCUAUCCUAUCCACUUAUUCCCCUUCCCUCUCCUCCCUGAUCUGGAGAGGCACCCGUACGCAGCCGUCAACGCCGCCUCAUCGUUGACACGCUCCGGCACCACCCCGUCGUGCCCGAAGGCACCCAGGAGUUGCGCCUCGACGUCCUCUACCUCCACGGCAACCGGCUCGAGCUGGAGCGCCCCGGAGCCGCCGCCAUGGACCCCUCCUCUUCGACCAGGGACGUCUGCUCCGCCUCGUUGAUCUGCUACCUCCGGUCCUCCCCGAACCACCCCGAGCUCGCCACCGCCUUCCCCUCGGUGAGCCGCACCCGUUCCCCCUUUCCCCCCUCGGAUUUGUCGCCGUAUGAGCGCGCCCCGCGUCGCUGUUGCUCCUGCUGUUGUCGCCUUGCUCGUGUGCGCCUUCGCCUUGCCAGGCCCGCCCCCUGUCGACCGAAGUCGUGCCCACACGCGCGGACCGCUGCCCCCGCUCGCAUCGUUG
rnacentral:lncRNA from 1 species